rnacentral:rRNA from 1 species
CCUACGGGUGACAGCAGUGGGGAAUAUUGGGCAAUGGGCGCAAGCCUGACCCAGCAACGCCGCGUGAAGGAAGAAGGCCCUCGGGUUAAACUUCUUUUAUUCGGGACGAAACAAAUGACGGUACCGAAUGAAUAAGCCACGGCUAACUACGUGCCAGCAGCCGCGGUAAUACGUAGGUGGCAAGCGUUAUCCGGAUUUACGGGGUGGAAAGGGCGUGUAGGCGGGAGGACAAGUCAGACGUGAAAUUCCAGGGCUCAAACCUGGAACUGCGUUUGAAAAUGUUCUUCUUGAGUGAUGGAGAGGCAGGCGGAAUUCCGUGUGUAGCGGUGAAAUGCGUAGAUAUACGGAGGAACACCAGUGGCGGAGGCGGCUUACUGGACGGUAACUGACGCUGAGGCUCGAAAGCGUGGGGAGCAAACAGGAUUAGAUACCCUUGUAGUC